GACGAACGCUGGCGGCGUGCUUAACACAUGCAAGUCGAACGGAAAGGCCCCCACUUUUUUGGUGGGGGUGCUCGAGUGGCGAACGGGUGAGUAACACGUGGGUGAUCUGCCCUGUACUUCGGGAUAAGCUUGGGAAACUGGGUCUAAUACCGGAUAGGACCAUGGUUUAGUGUCUCAUGGUGGAAAAAUUAUUGUUUUGGUGCAGGAUGAGCUCGCGGCCUAUCAGCUUGUUGGUGGGGUAAUGGCCUACCAAGGCGUCGACGGGUAGCCGGCCUGAGAGGGUGGACGGCCACAUUGGGACUGAGAUACGGCCCAGACUCCUACGGGAGGCAGCAGUGGGGAAUAUUGCACAAUGGGCGCAAGCCUGAUGCAGCGGCGCCGCGUGGGGGAUGACGGCCUUCGGGUUGUAAACUCCUUUCGUUAGGGACGAAGCCGCACCUUUUUUGGGUGUGGUGACGGUACCUUUGUUAAGAAGCACCGGCUAACUACGUG
rnacentral:rRNA from 1 species